rnacentral:lncRNA from 1 species
AGGCGGCAAUGGUGGAAGAAAAAUGGUGGUGAUGGUGAAAGAAAGAUGUUGUUUGUGAUGAUGGUGGUUGUAAUGUAUUAAUGGAGUUGAUUGAGCCGACGCAAAAAAUAAAUUGAUUAGAGAUAAAAAAAAUGAAUAAACAAAAAUGAAUAAACAAAUUGUAUUAAUAUGUGACAUGUGUGCUUUGAAAGGUAAAAGAGCAAUUAAUAUAGAAUAUACACUUUAUAUUCUAUUAGUUUGUACUUUGUUAUGGUCAUUUCCCUGAUUAUAUUUUUUUAUGGUUAUUGAUGUCAAUUUCCCUUAAAAUAAUUUAUACGUAUAGCCUCUCUUUUUUGAAAUAGCUAAUAAAUUAAAGACUAACUCUAAAGAGAUUAAUUAAACCAUUCGAAAACACAUAUUCCCUCCGUUUCAAUUAAUUGCCAUUGUAUGAUAAAAUUAUUGUUUAAAAAUAAGUGUUGUUUUAAAAUUUGAAUGCAAAAUGUAUCAACAAUAUUCUCCAACUUAUUUUU